CUAAGCGUACUGAGGAGGACAUUAAUGAAUUUCAACGCGUGGGAUUUGCUGCUGGUUCUCUCUCCCGGGAGGACAUGUGCACGGUCUCAUGCGUUCCAACCUUCAAACCCUCUGUGCACUUUUCAUAGGAACAGCUGAGAAACUGUCCUAUGCAUUUUUACAAACCCAUGUAUAGUUUUUGAAUGUCGACAUGCUCAUGAAGCAUUUAUAAUACAACUUUCAGCAACGGAUCUCUUGGCUCUCGCAUCGAUGAAGAACGCAGCGAAAUGCGAUAAGUAAUGUGAAUUGCAGAAUUCAGUGAAUCAUCGAAUCUUUGAACGCACCUUGCGCUCCUUGGUAUUCCGAGGAGCAUGCCUGUUUGAGUGUCAUGGUAUUCUCAAUUCUCUUUGAUUUCUUUCCAUGGGAUCAAAGAGAUAUUGGAUUUGGAGGCUUCAUUGCCGGCAUAGCGCCGGCUCCUCUUAAAUGCAUUAGCGCGAAUAGACGCAUCCCGAUAUUCUCCAGCGUGAUAAUUAUCUGCGCUGUUGAAGGAGCUGCAUAUAUUUCAUGCUUCAAACGGGUCUCUUUAUUGAGACAAUUUCAUCUUGACAUCUGACCUCAAAUCAGGUAGGACUACCCGCUGAACUUAAGCAUAUCAUA
rnacentral:rRNA from 1 species